UACGUAGGGUGCGAGCGUUAAUCGGAAUUACUGGGCGUAAAGCGUGCGCAGGCGGUUUUGUAAGCCAGAUGUGAAAUCCCCGGGCUUAACCUGGGAAUGGCAUUUGGGACUGCAAGGCUCGAGUGCGGCAGAGGAGACUGGAAUUCCUGGUGUAGCAGUGAAAUGCGUAGAUAUCUGGAGGAACAUCGGUGGCGAAGGCGGCAUCCUGGACCGGUAUUGACGCUGAGGCGCGAAAGCCAGGGGAGCAAAGCGGGG
rnacentral:rRNA from 1 species